UGAGUAACACGUAUCCAACCUGCCGUCUACUCUUGGACAGCCUUCUGAAAGGAAGAUUAAUACAAGAUGGCAUCAUGAGUUCACAUGUUCACAUGAUUAAAGGUAUUCCGGUAGACGAUGGGAUGCGUUCCAUUAGAUAGUAGGCGGGGUAACGGCCCACCUAGUCUUCGAUGGAUAGGGGUUCUGAGAGGAAGGUCCCCCACAUUGGAACUGAGACACGGUCCAA
rnacentral:rRNA from 1 species